ensembl:lncRNA
UUGCCUGGAAACUCCCAUGGACGGAGGAGCCUGGUAGGCUGCAGUCCAUGGGGUCGUGAAGACUUGGACACGACUGAGCGACUUCACUUUCACUUUUCACUUUCAUGCAUUGGAGAAGGAAAUGGCAACCCACUCCAGUGUUCUUGCCUGGAGAAUCCCAGGGACGGGGGAGCCUAGUGGGCUGCCGUUUAUGGGGUCACACAGAAUCGGACAUGACUGACGUGACUUUGCUGCAGCAGCAUAGUUCCCCUGAGCUCCCAGAUUUGAAUGGGGCUCCCUGAAGUUACCAGAUGCAUAUAUUUGUAUUUUCACUUUACCAAAGAGUCAAGUAGCCUAGAGCAUGAAUGCUACUGAAUGUUGAAUUGAUACAAUCAUUACAGAGCAAGAAAGAGACUGUCUACCAGGGGAAAAAAGUAUGUUGUCAUUGAGGAGAGUCAGAUUUAAUAGUUCAUGACUUAUGUUUUAUUCAUGAAAUAUACAUGGAUUUUAUAAAUAAUCAUUUUCAUAUGUAUGAAUAAAGAAAAAUAAAUAAUAUAGUCUUUUUAAAGUUUCCCAGGAGGAUAUGCCAAAUUACAUUAUCUUCUUCCCUCCAAGAGGCAGCCUCUAUCCUGAUUUUUUGUUUUCUCUUAUAAUGGUGACACUAAUGGUAAAGAAUCCUCCCUGCAAUGCAGGAGGCUCAAGGGAUGCAGUUUCUGUCCCUGGGUGGAGAAGAUCCUCUGGAGUAGGAAGUGACAACCCACUCCAAUAUUCUUGCUUGGAAAAUUCCAUAGACAGAGGAACCUGACAGACUACAGUCCAUGGGGCCACAAAGAGUCAGACAUGACUGACUGAGCAUUACAUAUCACUAUAACUUCAGAAAUAUGUAUUUUUGAAACAUUUAAAUUGAAGGAUAAUUUCUUUGAUUUUCUCUUACUAAUAUAUGUUUCUGAAAGCAUAUAUUUUAUCAUUGGCCAAAAUCACUGUCUUCAAUCUUAAUGUGGGGGAUGUUUCUGGAACAUAAAUUAUGCCAUAGAAUUGUCCACAUUUGAAGCCAGUGUUCCUGGCUUUUGUGCUCUGGUAUUUGUGAUUUGGUGCUCAGGGAAAUUUUUCAGGAAUCUCCCAGGCAGGCUGUUCUUGUCAACUCAGGGAGACUUCUGCAUACAAGGCACUCAGAGCUGCUUUUAAUAGGUGUACUCACUAGUAUUCUUGCCUGGAAAAUCACAUGGAUGGAGGAGCCUGGCUGGCUACAGUCCAUGGGGUUGCAAAGAGUUGGACACGACUGAGUGACUUCACUUUCACUUUUUCAUUUUCACCAGUAAAGAGGAUCCUGCUAGAUAUCAUCAGCAAAGUCAACCAUGUUUUGGAGACAAAUGCUGGACCCUCUUCCCCAGUUGCUCAUGGAAGACAGACUGAUUCACACACAAACUAUUUGGUGAGACCUGGUACCAUGCCUCAUCUUGAUGCAAGAAAAGCUUCCAAGGAGAUCAAACCAGUCAGUCCUAAAGGAGAUCGGUCCUGAAUAUUCACUGGAAGGACUGAUGCUGAAGUUCCAAUGUUUGCCCACCUGAUUCGAAGAACCGACUCAUUGGAAAAGACCCUAAUGCUGGGAAAUAUUGAAGGCAGGAGAAAGGGACAACAGAGGAUCACACGGUUGGAUGGCAUCACUGACUCGAUGGGCAUGAGUUUGAGAGAGCCCCAGGAACUGGUGAUGGACAAGAAAGCCUGGCGUGCUGCAGCCCGUUGGGUUGCAGAGUCAGACACGACUGAGGGACUAAACUGAACUGAACUAGCUUCCAAGUAUAGAUAGCAGCCAUAUGAUAUGAAUGACUGAAUGUCUAAUAACUGAUAGUAUCUUGCCAAAUAAUCAAUGAUGUGAAAGUGGCAUAAUGCAGUGAACAAGUAUCAGACUGAAAGCAAGCAAGGAGACUGUAUGAAGUGCUGUCUCCCGGAUGACAAGCUGUAUGAUGUGCCGUGACUCAGUAUUACAGAUGUAAGUCUAUUCAUCUGGAAAGCGGAGUUGUGGCAUGUACUAAGUUGUACACACCUCAAAAAUCAAAUAUUAAUGUUUUUUUUUUCAUUUUCCAUUUUCUUAUCUGAUUUCACUCAAUUUAAGAUGUAUUAUUUUUAGCAUUUGAUCAUUGUCAUCAUAAAAGAUAAUGGAUAUUCCUAAGGAUGUAUUCCUGGAAACUUUAGUUCUUUCAUUAGCAUGCCCAUUUCCAUAUUUCCUGAAACGAAUUUUUCUGAGCAAGUGUUUGCCCUCCCUAGUCAGAUGCAGGUAUUUCGUCUGUUAUUCCUACAUGCUAAAACCUAUUAAUCUGUUCUGAAAUUUUGAGUUUAUUUUGCCAUAAAUCACUUGUGAUUCUUUUGUAUAUAUGACUAGUUUUUUUUUUAAUCUUUUUUUUUUGUAUUGGGGUAUAGCCUAUUAACAGUGUUAAUGUUUGUUAUAAUAAUAGUUUCAGGUGUACAGGAAAGGGACUCAGUCAUGCAUAUACAUGUAUCCAUUCUUCCCCAAACUCCCUCCUAUUCAUGCUGUCACAUAACAUUGAACAGAGUUCCCUGUGCUGUACAGUAGGUCCUUGUUAGUUAUCCAUUUUAAAUAUAGCAGUGUGUACUUUUUAGAUUAGGCCAGGAAGUUAUUAAUCACUUGUUGCCAUCUGUGACACCCAAUGUCAAGUGUAACUCCUUGAAGUAAUAAGUAAUGCUUACUAAUGUUCCAAAUUCAACGUCUUGACUGCAUUACAAGAGCAAUCAACUAAACUUUAUGUACCAAUUGGAGAAUUCCAUAUAAAUUUUCUCAGAACUUCCUAAUUCCAAAAAGACUUUCCCAAAACCUUCCAUGAUAUUCACGGGAAGUGUGUAAAAAUGUAAGGAGUAUGUGAACAAACAGGAACAUGAAAAAUAUUGACAAAUUUUUCCAUGAUAACAUUCAACAGAGCCAUUUAAUAAAAUGCAAUACAUAAAUUUUAAUAAGGAGAGAGCUGAACACAUUCUUCCCUUGAAUUUACCUUGAUUGCACUAAUGAAAGGCUUACUGUUUCUCAACUGGGAGUAUGCUGCUCUUGUUUUCAGCACAGAUGUUUCCUUCUACAGGAAGUCAAAUCCAGUUUUUCACACUUACACAAAAAUUUUUACAGUUUUUAGCUAGGCAUCAGCUAGCUGUUGGAUAAAUGAUUUCAUGUUCUGUGUUUACAUGUGUACUUCACAACUGAAUUUCAUUCUCAAGUCUGGGAAAACAUUAAUAACUCAGACUGUAUCUUAGGUAUUUUAGAUUUAGUCCUAGGUGAAUAUCACUAAUAUAUGUGCCAGUGCCUGAUUCAUAGGUCUCAUACCUAAACAUAUUAUGUUUUAUGCCUUGGAUAUUUUGAUAUAUAUUUAUUUGUUUUCCACAUCUAAUUAAUUGAAUAUUUCUGAAUAGUAUCACUGUGAUGAUAGAAAGUAGCCAUAAGUCUACUGGCUCCUGUUAAAGAAUGCUAAAUUCCAUGACAUUGUAAUUGUGGGGUUUCAGUUUUGACAGAACUCAACACUGGCUCCCAGUACUGGAAGGCAGCCAAAUUCUUUAACUGUUUUAAAUGGGGCAGAAUGCACUAUCCUGAGACAGUAAAUAGUGUAUGUGAGAGUGAAAGUUGCGCAGUCAUGUCUGACUCUGUGACACCAUGGGCUGUAACUCACCAAGAUCCUCUGUCCCUGGAAUUCUCCAGGCAAGAAUCCUGAGGUGGGUAGUCAUUCUCUUCUUGAGAGGCUCUUCCCGACCCAGGGAUUGAACCCAGGUCUCCUGCACUGCAGGUGGAUUCUUUAUUGUCUGAGCCACCAGGGAAGCCCAAGACAGUAAAUAAUCUUGUCCCAAAAUUUAUUUGUAAAUAUUACUGGUUAGAUAGGACAUUUGAAGCAGUCAGCAUUCAGAAAAAUAAGUUAAGUGCUAAAUGACAUAGGAAGAUGAUGUCGCCUAAUCCUCAUUAAAUUUGAUGAGUUAGGUAUUAAUACUUACAUAAAAAAUAUUCCAAUAUCUUGCAUCUUUUUUCUUGGCAAAGGUGAGAUUUAAGACUUGGAAUUCUGACUUAGUGGAAGGCUAUGAUUACAUGUGUUCAAUAUUUCCCUUGCAUACAUGCUAAGUCAAUUCAUUCGUGUCUGACCCUUUGAGAUCCCAUAGGCUGUACCUACCAGGCUCCUCUAGCAAUGGGAUUUUCCAGGCAAGAAUAUUGGAGUGAGUUGCCAUUUCCUUCCCCAGGGUAUCUUCCUGAACUAGGGAUUGAACCUAUGUCUCUUACAUCUCUGUCUCCUGAAAAAGCAAAAUAACAAAUGCUUGCUAACAAAAUGUG